AUCACAACUUUCUUUGUUACAGCUUCUACAUCUUUCUCCCUCCUUCCCUUUUCUCUUUCUCUCUACCACUCAAACUCAUCUUUGUCUCAACUUAUGUGUUUAUUCAUCAUCAAACUUCUUUUCUCUUCAUCUUAUAUGUAGGUUGACUUUAAAGAUCUAAAAAUAGAAGAUCUACAAACCAUAUUCGAAAUCAAGCCCAAGUUGUGACAAGCUUGCAGAUCUAAGGUUGAAAACAUAGAUCUGUGAUUCUCCAAUGUGUUCAUUUCUGCAUAAUAGAAUUUCCAAUGAAGCAUGUUACUGAUAUGAUAUUUCCUCAAUAUAUUUGGUAUAUGGAAGUUAUAACAUAUGGAAUUGAUUCAACAAAUCAAACUAACCAAUGAACAUUGUAGCUACCAAAGGACAUUAUUACUCCUACAAUGUAGUGCCAUCAUUUUAUAAUUUUGAGAAAUGUUGAUUAACUAUUAAUUAUAUUUUAUCUUUUAGUACUUAAAUAUUUUUUAUUUCAUUUUAUAUGCAUUAUGUAUUAUUUUGUAUAACUAAUAAUUGUAAAUAUUAUUUUUAUUACAUUCAAAGAA